rnacentral:rRNA from 1 species
GACGAACGCUGGCGGCGUGCUUAACACAUGCAAGUCGAACGGUAAGGCCCUUCGGGGUACACGAGUGGCGAACGGGUGAGUAACACGUGGGUGAUCUGCCCUGCACUUCGGGAUAAGCCUGGGAAACUGGGUCUAAUACCGGAUAGGACCACUGCCUGCAUGGGUGGUGGUGGAAAGCUUUUGCGGUGUGGGAUGGGCCCGCGGCCUAUGAGCUUGUUGGUGGGGUGGUGGCCUACCAAGGCGACGGCGGGUGGCCGGCCGGAGAGGGUGACCGGCCAACCUGGGACUGAGACACGGCCCAGACUCCUACGGGAGGCAGCAGUGGGGAAUAUGGCAUAAUGGGCGCAAGCCUGAUGGAGCGACGCCGCGCGAGGGAUGACGGCCUUCGGGUUGUAAGCCUCUUUCAGCACCGACGCAGCGCAAGUGACGGUAGGUGCAGAAGAAGGACCGGCCAACUACGUGCCAGCCGCCGCCGUAA